rnacentral:lncRNA from 1 species
AAUUCAGCAGUGGUUUUCCAGAACUGUAAUAUUUUUGCCAGGAAUCCCGGAACAGGACAGAAGAAUUUUGUGACUGCGCAAGGUCGCACUAGCCCUGAUCAAAACACAGGCAUUUCUAUACAAAACUGCCAGAUAGAGGCGCAGUCAGUCACAUAUCUUGGUAGGCCAUGGAAGCAAUAUUCUAGAACAGUUAUAAUGCAGUCCUCUUUGGAUGGUUCAAUAGAUCCUGCUGGUUGGUUUCCUUGGGCUGGUGGCUCCUCCCCCUCGUCAAUCUAUUAUGGUGAAUACUCGAACUCAGGCCCCGGCUCCUCUACUUCCGGCAGGGUCAACUGGCCUGGCUAUCAUAGCUCGCUUACCUCCGUAGAAGCUCAAAAGUUCACGGUUGGUAGUUUCAUUAGCGGGAAUGUUUGGUUGCCCCCCACCGGAGUUGCUUUCGAUUCUGGGCUGGGUGGUUAAGGCUCGAAAAUGGAAACUACGAUGGGGUCCAAAUGUGUUUAUUUUAUUAUAGCUGUCAUCUUUGUCCUAUCUUCUGUUUAAUUAUUUUCCUAAUUUAUUAUGUUGUUUUUGUUUA